rnacentral:rRNA from 1 species
UCGACGGCAGCACGGGAGCAUCCUGGUGGCGAGUGGCGAACGGGUGAGUAAUAUAUCGGAACGUGCCCAGUCGUGGGGGAUAACGCAGCGAAAGCUGUGCUAAUACCGCAUACGAUCUAUGGAUGAAAGCGGGGGAUCGCAAGACCUCGCGCGAUUGGAGCGGCCGAUAUCAGAUUAGGUAGUUGGUGGGGUAAAAGCCCACCAAGCCGACGAUCUGUAGCUGGUCUGAGAGGACGACCAGCCACACUGGAACUGAGACACGGUCCAGACUCCUACGGGAGGCAGCAGUGGGGAAUUUUGGACAAUGGGCGCAAGCCUGAUCCAGCAAUGCCGCGUGCAGGAUGAAGGCCUUCGGGUUGUAAACUGCUUUUGUACGGAACGAAACGGUCCUUUCUAAUACAAGGGGCUAAUGACGGUACCGUAAGAAUAAGCACCGGCUAAC